rnacentral:rRNA from 1 species
UCAGUCGACUCCUACGGGGAGGCAGCAGUGGGGAAUAUUGCACAAUGGGGGAAACCCUGAUGCAGCCAUGCCGCGUGUGUGAAGAAGGCCUUCGGGUUGUAAAGCACUUUCAGUAGGGAGGAAGGUAGUGUAGUUAACACCUGCAUUAUUUGACGUUACCUACAGAAGAAGCACCGGCUAACUCCGUGCCAGCAGCCGCGGUAAUACGGAGGGUGCGAGCGUUAAUCGGAAUUACUGGGCGUAAAGCGCAUGCAGGCGGCCUGUUAAGUCAGAUGUGAAAGCCCGGGGCUUAACCUCGGAAUUGCAUUUGAAACUGGCAGGCUAGAGUCUUGUAGAGGGGGUAGGAAUUUCAGGUGUAGCGGUGAAAUGCGUAGAGAUCUGAAGGAAUACCAGUGGCGAAGGCGGCCCCCUGGACAAAGACUGACGCUCAGAUGCGAAAGCGUGGGGAGCAAACAGGAUUAGAUACCCUGGUAG